rnacentral:rRNA from 1 species
ACCGGCGAUUUCCGAAUGGGGAAACCCAGUGUGACUCGUCACACUAUCAUUAACUGAAUCCAUAGGUUAAUGAGGCGAACCGGGGGAACUGAAACAUCUAAGUACCCCGAGGAAAAGAAAUCAACCGAGAUUCCCCCAGUAGCGGCGAGCGAACGGGGAGGAGCCCAGAGCCUGAAUCAGCAUGUGUGUUAGUGGAAGCGUCUGGAAAGGCGCGCGAUACAGGGUGACAGCCCCGUACACAAAAGCGCAUGUGCUGUGAGCUCGAUGAGUAGGGCGGGACACGUGGUAUCCUGUCUGAAUAUGGGGGGACCAUCCUCCAAGGCUAAAUACUCCUGACUGACCGAUAGUGAACCAGUACCGUGAGGGAAAGGCGAAAAGAACCCCGGCGAGGGGAGUGAAAAAGAACCUGAAACCGU